UGGAAGGCGUAGUAGACAAUACAUGCAUGUUACAGACCUGGAAGUAAUCAACAGGAAAGAGGGAAUGGAAGAGGUGGAAGCCCUUUGCUUUGACUUAGAAAAUCUAACCCGUACAUUUACGGAAACCGAUUUCAAGAGCAUGCCAAACAUAAGGUUCUUGAAAUUUGGAUCGUGCAAGUAUGACUGGAAAUUUCGCAAAUGUAUUUCCAAAGUCGAGGUGGCUUCAUUGGCAAGGGUGCCCAAGGGAUUUCAAAGCAACAGAAUUUAGUCUGACGGCACUGGUCAUUCUUGAUCUUUCAUGGAGCAAGUUCACCGAAGACUGGGGAGGUUGGAGGUUAAUUAAGAUGGAGCAAUUGAAAGUCUUAAAUCUCACUGGUUGCACUGACUUACUGAUAAGUCCGACAUUUUCUAGCUUCCCGAACUUGGAGGUACUGAUUCUAGAGCGAUGCUCUCGGUUUGUCCAUUUAGAUCGUUCAGUGGGUG